rnacentral:rRNA from 1 species
ACAGCAGUCGCCACGGGAAUACAGAGGGUGCGAGCGUUAAUCGGAUUUACUGGGCGUAAAGCGUGCGUAGGCGGCUUUUUAAGUCGGAUGUGAAAUCCCUGAGCUUAACUUAGGAAUUGCAUUCGAUACUGGGAAGCUAGAGUAUGGGAGAGGAUGGUAGAAUUCCAGGUGUAGCGGUGAAAUGCGUAGAGAUCUGGAGGAAUACCGAUGGCGAAGGCAGCCAUCUGGCCUAAUACUGACGCUGAGGUACGAAAGCAUGGGGAGCAAACAGGAUUAGAUACCCGCGUAGUCCCUGUCUCUUAUAC